AUUGAGUAAAAUAAAUAAAUAAAAUAGAGAUAACAUCUUCUGAUUCUUCUCCUUCGCUCACACAAAAAUCCUUCAUCCCAACACGCUUGCCGUCAAUCCCAAUUGCCCACAGAAAUCCAAAUCGAAGAAAUCCCCACCUUGAACCACGAAAUCAGCUAACACACUCACCGAAACACAAUCACCUCACACACUCGAGAUUGAACGAAAUUCUUCAAUCGCCUACACACGCCAACUCAAACGAUAGACCAGAAAAAUCACAGAUCGGAGACAAACGGGGCAGCAUGCGAGAGAGAGGAUGGUGAUCAGAGAGAGGAGGAUGUUAGAGUCGGUUCACGGUGAAGGAUCGACGGUGUUAAAGCAGUGACAAUGGUGUAUCGAAACCCAAUCUCAGGUAUUCAUCUUGAAUGUGGAGGUUCUAUCUCAGUUUCAAAGCAUUCUCAAAGAGUGGACGGCGACAUCACCAGAUCGGAGGACGAAAAUUAAGAAUGAAUUGGAAUCCGGAAGAGGUCGGACGCCAACUACAACUACCAGAGAGUGCACAGUUCGAAACCACAUAUCAUUCAGAUGAUAUUUUCUAGAGCCACAACAAAAAUCUACUUCAAAAAGAAUUCAAUUCAUAAACGCGGACACAAUGAACCUUAAUGGCAGAGUUGAAGAUCUUGGGAUGAAGAUUAUCAAGGGUAGUAAUGAUAGGCACCAUGAAUACAGGUGAACUUUCUGUUCAUAACAAAGAAAUGAGGUAAACAACAUUGAAAUUUCAGUUUCUGCCUCUUGUUGAUAGCCAAAAGAAUUGGAUACCAGUCUAUAUUUGAUAAUAAAAUGAUCUAUUUUGAGCUA